UACGUAGGUGGCAAGCGUUGUCCGGAAUUACUGGGUGUAAAGGGCGUGUAGGCGGGAAGGCAAGUCAGAUGUGAAAGCCCAUGGCUUAACUGUGGAACUGCAUCUGAAACUGUUUUUCUUGAGUACUGGAGAGGAAAGUGGAAUUCCUAGUGUAGCGGUGAAAUGCGUAGAGAUUAGGAGGAACACCAGUGGCGAAGGCGGCUUACUGGACUGUAACUGACGUUGAGGCUCGAAAGCGUGGGGAGCAAACAGGAUUAGAUACCCUCGUAGU
rnacentral:rRNA from 1 species